CGCUGCCCGCGACUCUGCGAGAAGUCCAUUGAACCUUAUCAUUUAGAGGAAGGAGAAGUCGUAACAAGGUUUCCGUAGGUGAACCUGCGGAAGGAUCAUUG
rnacentral:rRNA from 1 species